GAGCGACUUGGUCAAAACCAAUUAGUCAGUAAUGGGAUCUAGAUCUGAAACCAGAACUGACUCAAAAGCCAGAGUUCUUUGGGCUGAAACCCUCCUCCUCUCCCUUUCUUUCUCUUGCUCCCAAACCUUCUUUACCUGAGCGUUCGCACCCUCCCCGCUCUCGCUGUCUGAGCCUUGCCCCCUUUUCUGCUUUGGAAUCAAAAUAGGGUCAGCCAGAGAAGCUUCUGGAAAUGUAACCUUUCCCCCGCCUCCAAAGCCAGGGCACAGGCUUCCCUGCAACCGUGUAAGCGACGGACUCCUUGCUCCCUUGCGAAUCGUGGCAGGAGGAGAGCAGAGGCUCUACUAGGAUCUCCUAAAUGGGCACAACUUCGGCCUCUCUGAGCCCCACGGCCCCUCCAGAGGAUGCUCAAUGGACUCCCCCAGUGUGCCACCAGAGAGGACAUCCACGGUCCUCUGGUUCAGUUCUCAGGUCCUGUCCUUCUUGGGGGCCUAAGGCCUGAUCAAGACCUUCAAAGGCCUCCACACAAAAAAGACCGUCGUCUCUCUCUCCAAAUAUAAUUCCUGAUACUGAACAACCAGCACAAAAUGUAUAUACAUAAGCUGAAAUUAAAAGAGCUUUUUUGUUUUUAUUUUAAUUUUUUUUUUCUUUU
rnacentral:lncRNA from 1 species